rnacentral:rRNA from 1 species
GGUAAAUGCGUGCCAGCGUCCGGGGUAAUACGGAGGGUGCGAGCGGUGUCCGGAAUGAGGGGGCGUAAAGAGCGUGUAGGCGGUGUGUCGCGUCUGCGGUGAAAAUCCGGGGCUCAACCCCGGACGUGCUGUGGGUACGGGCAGACUAGAGUAUGGUAGGGGAGACCGGAAUUCCUGGUGUAGCGGUGGAAUGCGCAGAUAUCAGGAGGAACACCGAUGGCGAAGGCAGGUCUCUGGGCCAUAACUGACGCUGAGAAGCGAAAGCAUGGGGAGCGAACAGGAUUAGAUACCCGUGUAGUC